rnacentral:rRNA from 1 species
GUGCUUACACAUGCAAGUCGAACGAUGAUGCCCAGCUUGCUGGGCGGAUUAGUGGCGAACGGGUGAGUAAUACGUGAGUAACCUGCCCUUGACUCUGGGAUAAGCCUGGGAAACUGGGUCUAAUACUGGAUACUACCUCUUGCCGCAUGGUGGGUGGUGGAAAGGGUUUUACUGGUUUUGGAUGGGCUCACGGCCUAUCAGCUUGUUGGUGGGGUAAUGGCUCACCAAGGCGACGACGGGUAGCCGGCCUGAGAGGGUGACCGGCCACACUGGGACUGAGACACGGCCCAGACUCCUACGGGAGGCAGCAGUGGGGAAUAUUGCACAAUGGGCGGAAGCCUGAUGCAGCGACGCCGCGUGAGGGAUGACGGCCUUCGGGUUGUAAACCUCUUUCAGUAGGGAAGAAGCGAGAGUGACGGUACCUGCAGAAGAAGCGCCGGCUAACUACGUGCCAGCAGCCGCGGUAAUACGUAGGGCGCAAGCGUUGUCCGGAAUUAUUGGGCGUAAAGAGCUCGUAGGCGGUUUGUCGCGUCUGCUGUGAAAGCCCGGGGCUCAACCCCGGGUCUGCAGUGGGUACGGGCAGACUAGAGUGCAGUAGGGGAGACUGGAAUUCCUGGUGUAGCGGUGAAAUGCGCAGAUAUCAGGAGGAACACCGAUGGCGAAGGCAGGUCUCUGGGCUGUUACUGACGCUGAGGAGCGAAAGCAUGGGGAGCGAACAGGAUUAGAUACCCUGGUAGUCCAUGCCGUAAACGUUGGGCACUAGGUGUGGGGGACAUUCCACGUUUUCCGCGCCGUAGCUAACGCAUUAAGUGCCCCGCCUGGGGAGUACGGCCGCAAGGCUAAAACUCAAAGGAAUUGACGGGGGCCCGCACAAGCGGCGGAGCAUGCGGAUUAAUUCGAUGCAACGCGAAGAACCUUACCAAGGCUUGACAUUCACCGGACCGCCCCAGAGAUGGGGUUUCCCUUCGGGGCUGGUGGACAGGUGGUGCAUGGUUGUCGUCAGCUCGUGUCGUGAGAUGUUGGGUUAAGUCCCGCAACGAGCGCAACCCUCGUUCUAUGUUGCCAGCACGUGAUGGUGGGGACUCAUAGGAGACUGCCGGGGUCAACUCGGAGGAAGGUGGGGAUGACGUCAAAUCAUCAUGCCCCUUAUGUCUUGGGCUUCACGCAUGCUACAAUGGCCGGUACAAAGGGUUGCGAUACUGUGAGGUGGAGCUAAUCCCAAAAAGCCGGUCUCAGUUCGGAUUGAGGUCUGCAACUCGACCUCAUGAAGUCGGAGUCGCUAGUAAUCGCAGAUCAGCAACGCUGCGGUGAAUACGUUCCCGGGCCUUGUACACACCGCCCGUCAAGUCACGAAAGUUGGUAACACCCGAAGCCGGUGGCCUAACCCCUUGUGGGAGGAGCCGUCG